CUGCUCCUAGUACGAGAGGACCGGAGUGGACGCAUCACUGGUGUUCGGGUUGUCAUGCCAAUGGCACUGCCCGGUAGCUAAAUGCGGAAGAGAUAAGUGCUGAAAGCAUCUAAGCACGAAACUUGCCCCGAGAUGAGUUCUCCCUGAGACUUUAAGUCUCCUGAAGGAACGUUAAAGACGAUGACGUUGAUAGGCCGGGUGUGUAAGCGCAGCGAUGCGUUGAGCUAACCGGUACUAAUGAACCGUGAGGCUUAACCUUACAACGCCGAAG
rnacentral:rRNA from 2 species